rnacentral:rRNA from 1 species
UUCCUUAUAAGAUACGUUUGUCGCAUGGCAUUUGUAUUAAACGCUCCGGCGCCAUAGGAUGGACCCGCGUCCCAUUAGCUAGUUGGUGAGAUAACAGCUCACCAAGGCCACGAUGGGUAACCGGUCUGAGAGGGCGAACGGUCACACUGGAACUGAGACACGGUCCAGACUCCUACGGGAGGCAGCAGUGGGGAAUAUUGCGCAAUGGGGGCAACCCUGACGCAGCAAUACCGCGUGAGUGAAGAAGGUUUUCGGAUCGUAAAGCUCUGUUAUUGGGGAAGAAAAAAAGACGGUACCCAAGAAGAAAGUUCCGGCUAACUACGUGCCAGCAGCCGCGGUAAUACGUAGGGAACAAGCGUUGUCCGGAUUUACUGGGCGUAAAGGGCACGCAGGCGGUUUUUUAAGUCAGAUGUGAAAGGCCACAGCUCAACUGUGGACAUGCAUUUGAAACUGAAAGACUUGAGUAUUGGAGAGGCAAGUGGAAUUCCUAGUGUAGCGGUGAAAUGCGUAGAUAUUAGGAGGAACACCGGUGGCGAAGGCGGCUUGCUGGACAAAUACU